CUCCGUCGAGCUCGUCAUCUGCAUCGAUGUGAGCUCUGCCACUUCCCCGUUUAUUCCCGAGCUCGGAUUCGAGCUUGAGCACCCUCACUGCCACUUCAUAGCUGUCGUCAUCGUCGUGACUGAAACCGCCGUAGCACCGCCGUCUCGCUCGCCCGUGGAUGCGCUGGAGUUUCAGCCGCGCCCACGCACACGUUCUCCCUCCUGCUACUGCCCGUUGUCGCUCCCCUGUCAUGCGUCGCCGCUCCUAGUGCACACGCCCGCCUUCUGCCCCCACGCUCGGGCUUUCCCUCCCGCUGCUCGCCCCAGGCCUCUGCCGCGGCGUUUCCCCUGGCCGCCCGCACGGCUCCCCUCCGCCCCGCCGCGCCUGCUCCGGUCGGCCAUGCCCGCCGAGCCGCACCGGCUCUGCCCAACGCGCCUCACCGACGCGCACUACCACCGACUCAGACCAGCCGCUGUCGUGCUAAGUGGCUGCGACUAUUGCUUGUUGCCUCACGCGAGGCCAUGGCGAGCACAACCUGAUAGCCUGGCUGUGUCUCUGCCAUGUAGGGCCAGCCCUACUUACAUUAGUGCUAAUUUUAGUUAGUAUUAAUUUAAUUCUAAAUUAGUUUAAUAGAAAGUGAUAGAUGAGCCCCUCAGUUAUCUAAACUGUUUAAUUAGAACUCUACUAGAAACUAACUCACAGCCAUGACCCACAUUUCCUAUUCACCUUUUGACCGUCAAAUGUUGACUGGGUCAACUCUGCUGAUUGGACCCCCCUGGCCCCAUUGUCAUACAACUUAGAGUAGGGCUAGGUGACAAGAGUAAUUACUCUUUUUUUUAAUUCGAAUUAAUAUAAUCCAGUAAUUUUAGAAAUUCAAAUAAACUUUGAAAAUCAUAUAAAAUAAUCCGUAACUCGGAUGAAAAUACUUUGUACAUGAAAGUUGCUCAGAACGACGAGAUGAAACAAAAUACGCGGUCUGUUUGUUAGCCACACGUCCCUAGCAUAGUAAACACGCAACUUUCCCUCUCCGGUUCACCUGUCCGAAAACACGAGACACCGGGGAUACUUUCCCGGAUGUUUCCCCCCCUUUGCCGGUACCACCUACUAACGCGUUAGGGCACACCUAGCACCGCUCAUUGUCAUGGCAUGCAUCAUCAUGCUUAUGUUUGCAUUGUAUUUAUUGUUUCGUCCCCCUCUUCUCUCCGGUAGACUACGAGACCCAUGCUGCUGCUGCCCCGUUCGACUAUGGAGUUCACGACCCCUCCUUAUUGCCCGAGCAACCAGGCAAGCCCCCCCUUGAUCAGCAGAUAUCGCCUAUUCUUCUCUCUACUGCUUGCAUUAGAGUAGUGUAGCAUGUUACUGUUCGGUUAAUCCUAUUCUGUUGCAUAGCCUGUCAUUGUUGCUACAGCUGUUGAUACCUUACCCGCAAUACUAAAUGCUUAGUAUAGGAUGCUAGUUUAUCAUCAGUGGCCCUACAUUCUUUUCCGUCUGCCUUGCUAUACUAUCGGGCCGUGAUCACUCGGGAGGUGAUCGGGUAUAUACUAUACAUAUAUACAUACUAUACAAAUGGUGACUAAUGUCGGGUCGGCUUGUUGAGUACACACAAGUGAUUCUGAUGUGGGGGCUGGAAGGACAGUUAGCUCCAUCCCGGUAGAGGUGGGCCUGGGUUCCCGACGGCCCCCGACUGUUACUUUGUGGUGGAGCGACAGGGAAGGUUGAGACCACUAGGCAAGAGGUGGGCCUGGCCCUGGUCGGGGUCCGCGGUUACUUCAAUAUAACACGCUUAACGAGAUCUUGGUAUUUGAUCUGAGUCUGGCCACUGGCUAUACGCCCUAACCAACUACGCGGGAACAGUUAUGGGCACUCGACGUCGUUGUAUCAGCCGAAGCCUUCUUGACGUCAGUGACUAAGCAGCGCGCGCCGGUUUGUACUGGAACACGUGCUCUUGUAUUAGGGAGGCUAGGUCUGCUUCCGGCCGCCCUCGCAACAUGCAGGUGUGCAACGGGCGAUGGGCCCAGACCCCUGCGCGCAUAGGAUUUAGACCGGCGUGCUGACCUCUCUGUUGUGCCUAGGUAGGUCUGUGACGUGUUGAUCUUCCGAGGCCGGGCAUGACCCAGGAAAGUGUAUCCGGACAGAGGGAUCGAGCGUGUUGGGUUAUGUGCUGCACCCCUACAGGGAAGUUUAUCUAUUCGAAUAUCCGUGUCCCUCGGUAAAAGGACGACCCGGAGUUGUACCUUGUCCUUAUGACAACUAGAACCGGAUACUUAAUAAAACACACCCAGACAAGUUCCAGAGAUAACCCAGUGAUCGCUUUUCCACAGGGCGAUGAGGGGAGGAUCGCCGGGUAGGAUUAUGCUAUGCGAUGCUACUGGAGGACUUCAAUCUACUCUCUUCUACAUGCUGCAAGACGGAGGCUGCCAGAAGCGUAGUCUUCGAUAGGACUAGCUAUCCCCCUCUUAUUCUGGCAUUUAGCAGUUCAGUCCACCGAUAUUGCCUCUUUACACAUAUACCCAUGCAUAUAUAGUAUAGAUCCUUGCUUGCGAGUACUUUGGAUGAGUACUCACUGUUGCUUUGCUCCAUCUUUUCCCCCUUUUUUCCUCUUCUUCCCAGAUGCCGCAACCUGAUGUUGGAGUCCAGGAGCCAUAGGAUCCCGAGGAUGGUUCUACAAGGAGUUUGGCUUCGUGGUGUAGUUAGGAGGUCCCAGGCAGGAGGCCUGCGCCUCUUUCGAUCUUUAUCCUAGAUUGUGCUAGCCAUCUUAUGGCAAUUUGUUUAACUUGUGUCUGUACUCAGAUAUUAUUGCUUCCGCUGAUUCGUUUAUGUUCGAGCACUUGUAUUCGAGCCCUCGAUGCCCCUGGCUUGUAAUAUGAUGCUUGUAUGACUUUUUUUUUACUUUUAGAGUUGUGUUUUGAUAUCUUCCCGUGAGUCCCUGAUCUUGAUCGUACACAUUUGCGUGCAUGAUUAGUGUACGAUUGAAUCAGGUGCGUCACAAUAUAUUUGCUAACUUUUCCU
rnacentral:lncRNA from 1 species